UAUCAAUCACUAAGAUGAUGCCUUGCAGCC
rnacentral:piRNA from 1 species